GCCCGCGCGCCUAAUCAAGGACUUAAAGCCCCGCUCCGGGCUCAUGAAUAUGAAGCGGCGCUUUACAUAUGCGGUCCCCCCGGGCCGGGGGCGCGGCGGAUUGUGGAGAAAGCAACUCAUUCCGUACGCGUUAAGGGAGCGUUUACCUGGCAAAACCGGCGCUCAGCUCCAUUUCUGACCUGCGCGGCCGCAUCGGGCAGCGCGCGCAGACAGCUUUAGCUAACAGAAAGAAGAGCUCCAGAACCGAUCAAUUUCUUCCCCAGCUGCGCAGGGAGCGGCGAGGGGACUGCCUGCUUCAUUUUAACAAGCUCAACCGCUUAGGAAAAUCUUUCAUUUACGACUGCAGCCCUACGUGAUGCAAACGGCAAUCUUUGAGAUCAAAACAUACCGGUGCAGACCCUCAGAAAGCGUUAAUUCCAUUCACCAAUGGGAACAAAAAUGCCCUCGCACAGCAUUUCACCAAAUGAACGUGGCUGCAGAAGCCAAGUCUGAAAUACGUAAGUUCAACAGAUGUGUUUGUGUGUGCUCACAGCAGAGAGAUGCCGGCAUUCUGUGCCUAACCUUAUGUAAAGGCUGGGCCUGUGGUAUAAAUGCAUGCGAGCUUUGGAAUUGGAGCCUGCAUAACAGAACUGCAGCUCUGACUACCGUAUAAAAGCAGGUAGUAAAAGCUUAAUUACCAGUAGCAUUAUGCUGUCUAUAUUGUUAAAUGUGAACUCUAUAAUUAAGAUGUAAAUUCACGUGUGAGCACGUGAAUUACAGAGCUCUGAAAUGUAGAGGAAAAUCCAACCACGCUGUAGAAACAUCAGCCUUAAAUAAAUAAAUAAAAAUGAAAAUCAGUUUUUAUUAAAUUUUAGAAUGAGGCAUUUAAUCAUGUCACAGUAUUAGGAUGCUCUCUGAGGAACAAUUGGAUAAAUGUGGGUUUUGGAAUCAAAUCAAAACUGAAAUAAGACAUGUUUAUUCUAUGUAUCGGCACCUCUGUAGUAUACAAACCAAAAUACAGUUCCUAUAAAUUGAUUUUCAUGUGCCCUUUGGCAAACUAUGAAAAUAGAAUUGUAUUGUCCAUUUAUAGAUUCAUAUUCAAAAAUGCUAUUUUUCAAUUUUAUACUAAAAUACUUCCAAAUCAUUUCAUGCAUAUCUGUUUUCUUACUUUAAGUGACCUAUACCCAGUCUGUAUAGAUAGGUUAUUUCAUCAAGCCGCUUCUACGUAUUAAGUUCUCUAGAAUAUAUCCUCCUUCAUAAGACAACUGAUCCAUUUAGAAAUGUAUCAAAGCACAGGUCAGCUUUAAUUUCUACUUUUGUUCAUUAUUUCUUAAGACAGUGCUUUUGUAUUCAGGUGCUGAAACAUGAUGUCUCUUUACUUCUGCCAUGGAAACCCUCUUUUCCCAUAGUAUUCCCAUAGGUUCUGCCACCUCGUUGACUUGUUCCACCCAUACCAUACACCAUCAGAUACGUUUUUCCUCUCUCUCCAUUUGCCAUCGCUAUGUUUCUCUCACCCAUCUCUCAUCCAAGCAAGUAUCUCUCCUCCCUGCCAGUGCUGCUGCUCAGGCAACCAGAAAUACAGUGCUGUAGUUUGCACGCUGAUAAACAAAGCAGUUGGCUUCUUCCCUGGGACUGAAAAUGCCACCUCUUCCAGACCAGGGCCUGGAAUUCCAACUGUGUUCUUGAACUUGGAUUUCAGUUAUCCAUCAGUUUAGAAAAAGAAGAUAAGAAAUAUUACUGCAGGCAAAUAAGCUGGGUGUAAGCAUAGCUUCACUUUCCCAAGGUUUUCUGUAGAAACAAAUAAAAUAGCUCUAGGAAAAAAAGAGGGGGGGGGGGGAAGCUCCUACAAUUUAAUUAAAUUUUAUCAGGGGAUGUAGAAUAAGAGCAUGCAUGGAAAUGUCCAUCUGCACUAACUUAUCAAAAUGAACAGUGUAAAAUCUUACCACAAAGAGUCUAUACAAAACAGUGGUAAUGGAAUCAGAGAGGGGAAGGAAAAAAAACAUCCUGGAUGUGUGCACCAGUCAAGGAGCAUUACUGAUCAGCAUCUGUGUUUCCAUCUCUGUGUGCCUAUGUAAUUUGUCUUACAUAUAUUCUAUGUUUAAGUAUCUUCACAUUUAUACACUACAGACAUUUCUAGCCACAUUCUUACAACACAACUAGCUCAAGGCAACUGAAGAAGUAUAAUUCAGUGGCACAUCACAGAAACUGCACAGUGAGUUGUGUCAAAUGUGUAUUUAGCAAAAGGCAAAGCUCAAGUCAACUGGCAGGGAGCAAGAAUGUAAAACACAUUUUAUUAGCUGCAGAGAAUUAAUUUGAAAACAAGUACAUCAUUUACUUAGCAUAACAUGUUGGGAAUUGGACUCUGAUCUCCAGAGAUCCCUUUUUACCCUACAAUUCUGUGAUUCUGCAAAAUUUUGCCAUACAUUAUGCUACCUUGUUCAAAGCAUAGCUGGAGAAUAUCAAUAAGUUUGAAAUAAAUAUUGAGUAAUCAUCAAA